rnacentral:rRNA from 1 species
UACGGGGGGGGCAAGCGUUGUUCGGAAUUACUGGGCGUAAAGGGCUCGUAGGCGGCCAACUAAGUCAUACGUGAAAUCCCUCGGCUUAACCGGGGAACUGCGUCUGAUACUGGAUGGCUUGAGUUCGGGAGAGGGAUGCGGAAUUCCAGGUGUAGCGGUGAAAUGCGUAGAGAUCGGGAGGAACACCAGCGGCGAAGGCGGCGACCUGGACAAGCACUGACACUCAACUACGAAAGCGUGGGGAGCAAACAGG